ACCCGUGCCAAUCCCGAUCCUUUCUCCCCUUCUUCCUCCUCUGUUCUCUCUUGCGGACGAUCGACGCCGACGGGGGCAAGGCUUCAGCUCCGACGAUCUUUUCUCUGCCGGCAUCGACCCUUUAGCUCAUAUCCAGCCGAAGUUUUCUCCUCCUCGCUCUAAGCUCUCUGUUCUCUCACGGGGACGAAUCGACGCCGAGCAUGGAUGAACCGACACCGAUGGUCGCCGGUGUAGAUCUAUUCUCGGAGCUUGCCGGAGAUCAAUCAAGGAGGCACGGAUCAUCUUGAUCUCCUCUUCUCAACCCAUCCCCGAGUUUUCCUCCCAGUUCUGCCGAUCCUUUCUUCCCCGAUCCGUGCACCGGCUUGAAGAUGACCUAGGGUUUCGAGGUGUUGUUGGAUCCCUGUUGGCUCCGAUCAGUUGUCGCGAAGACAAAGGCGUGCCCUAGCUGUGGAUUUGAUCUGUGAUCUUCAAUCUUAAUCUGAUCAAUGAAUUCUUGUGUGAUUCCUUCUUGAUCCGAAUGAUUUCCAGUGUGGUUCUGUUCUGAUCAGUGAUGUGUGCCAGAUGGUGAUUUAGAAAAGCUUACACUUCUUACUUCUCCAAAUCUAGAAUUAAAUCGUGUCUUCAAGAGUACUGGGAAGAAUGC